rnacentral:lncRNA from 1 species
AACUGGGGUCCUCGCCGCCGGGCUGGCAGCGGCUGGAGAAGGCGCUGCGCGGGGUCACGUAGUUGCUGGGGAAGAUGCCCACCCGCUGGUUCAGCUGCCCGGUCCACCAGCCCUCGUCGCCGGACACCUGCGAGUCCUUGGACAGCACCUCCACCACGUCGCCCAGCCGCAGGGUCAGCUCGUCCUCGCCCGCCGCCUCGUACUCGAACACGGCCGUCCAGUAGGGCAGCGGCGCGUCGCAGCCCAGCUCCCCGGGGCCCACCGCCGCCGCCGCCUCCUCCUCCUCCUCCUCCUCCUCCUCGGCCCCGGCCCCUGCUCCAUCCUCCCCCGGCGGGGCGGCAGCGGCGGCGCUCGCUAGGCAGCCGAGAAGCGCUCUGGAGGGCUCCAUGGAGCGGCCGAUCCAUAGGGUGCGGGGCCGCCGCCGCCCGCAGGAGCCGCCGCCGCCUAUUGUUCAUGCGCCUCCGCAGAGCUGGGAGGACCCCCCCCCAACGACGGCGGCCGCAGCCUGGUUGCAGAGUGAGCCCAUGGGACAGCCCUCUGAAAUUAUACUGCUUACAACCAUGCUGAGUCUGCAAGGACUUCGUCCAAGCCUUUCCGUCCAGGACCUCAAACAGAUCCAAUCACAAGAAGAGAGAUUUCAGGAAAGAGAAAAUUAUUCCUAUCAUCGGGGUUUUUGAAGAACAUGAAAUGACUGGGAAAAUAAUCAUGUUAAGUGGAAAAAAAAAAGAAAUCUAUCUGUUGUAAUUUUCAAAUAAUUUUUAAAUAAAUUUGAAAAAUUAAGAGAACUAUAUAUAUAAUACAUUCCUAAUCUUGUGAAAAAUAUAUAUGCAUUAAUAUUAUUGAAAGAAAUAUAUCAAAAGGUGAACAGCAAUUAUCACCAAUCUAGAUUAUGAGAUUAGGAGUGAUUUUUUUUCUUUGUCCUAUACUAUUUAAUAUUUUCUACCAUUAAAAUAUUCUGAUUUUCUAAUUAGAAUAGUACGUUAGACAAAGAAGGACAAAUAUCACAUGAACUCUCACUCUCUUAUGGAACAGAUCUUGUGGAAUCUAAAAAAGUUGAACUCAUAGAAAAAGAGGAAAAUGAUGGUUACCAGUUAGAAAAAAGGAAUAAGUUCAAGAGAUCUAUUGUACACCAUGGUCAAUAUAGUUAACAAUAUAUUUUAUACUUUAAAAUUGCUAAGGUAGUAGAUUUUAAGUGUUCUCACCACACAAAAAAAUAAGUAUGUGAAAAGCAUAUGGUAAUUAGCUUGAUUUAACCACGCCACAGUGCAUACAUAUGUCAAAACAUCAUGUUGUAUACUAUAAAUAUAUACACUUUUUGUCAAUUUUAAACAGGUUAUAAAAAAACAUGUUAUUGUUGAUAAUUAUGAAAAAUUUUAAUGAUGUGGAAAUGUGUACAGUAUAAUGAUAAAUGAAAGAGUAGUAAAAAUCCUUAUAAAAUAUAA